CCUACGGGCGGCUGCAGUGGGGAAUUUUGGACAAUGGGGGCAACCCUGAUCCAGCCAUUCCGCGUGAGUGAAGAAGGCCUUCGGGUUGUAAAGCUCUUUUGUCCGGAGCGAAACGGGCGGCCCUAAUACGGUCGUCUACUGACGGUACCGGAAGAAUAAGCACCGGCUAACUACGUGCCAGCAGCCGCGGUAAUCCGUACGGUGCGAGCGUUAAUCAGAAUUGCUGGGCGGAAAUCGUGCGCAAGAUGUGAAAUCCCCGGGCUCAAGCUGGGAAUGGCAUUUGGGACUGCAAGGCUGGAGUGUGGCAGAGGGGACUAGAAUUCCUGGUGUAGCAGUGAAAUGCGUAGAUAUCAGGAGGAAUACCGAUGGCGAAGGCAGGUCCCUGGGUUAACACUGACGCUCAUGCACGAAAGCGUGGGGAGCAAACAGGAUUAGAUACCCUAGUAGUC
rnacentral:rRNA from 1 species